GCUGUGUAGGUUGUAUAGAUGUGUUAGAACAUAUCCAGCUGUGUCGGUUGCUGUGUAGGUUGUAUAGAGGUGUGUUAUAGCACAUAUCCAGCUGUGUCGGUUGCUGUGUAGGUUGUAUAGAUGUGUGUUAGAACAUAUCCAGCUGUGUCGGUUGCUGUGUAGGUUGUAUAGAGGUGUGUUAUAGCACAUAUCCAGCUGUGUCGGUUGCUGUGUAGGUUGUAUAGAUGUGUGUUAGCACAUAUCCAGCUGUGUCGGUUGCUGUGUAGGUUGUAUAGAUGUGUGUUAGCACAUAUCCAGCUGUGUCGGUGUUGUGUAGGUUGUAUAGUUGCGUGUUAGCACAUAUCCAGCUGUGUCCAUUGUUGUGUAGGUUGCAUAGAGGUGUGUUAGCACAUAUCCAGCUGUGUCGUUGCUGUGUAGGUUGUAAAGUUGUGUUAUAGCACAUAUCCAGCUGUGUCGGUUGCUGUGUAGGUUGUAUAGAUGUGUGUUAGAACAUAUCCAGCUGUGUCGGUUGCUGUGUAGGUUGUAUAGAGGUGUGUUAUAGCAAAUAUCCAGCUGUGUCGGUUGCUGUGUAGGUUGUAUAGAUGUGUGUUAGAACAUAUCCAGCUGUGUCGGUUGCUGUGUAGGUUGUAUAGAGGUGUGUUAUAGCAAAUAUCCAGCUGUGUCGGUUGCUGUGUAGGUUGUAUAGAGGUGUGUUAUAGCAUAUAUCCAGCUGUGUCGGUUGCUGUGUAGGUUGUAUAGAUGUGUGUUAGCACAUAUCCAGCUGUCUCUGUUGCUGUGUAGGUUGUAUAGAGGUGUGUUAGAACAUAUCCAGCUGUGUCGGUUGCUGUGUAGGUUGUAUAGUUGCGUGUUAGCACAUAUCCAGCUGUGUCCAUUGUUGUGUAGGUUGCAUAGAGGUGUGUUAGCACAUAUCCAGCUGUGUCGUUGCUGUGUAGGUUGUAUAGAUGUGUGUUAGAACAUAUCCAGCUGUGUCGGUUGCUGUGUAGGUUGUAUAGAGGUGUGUUAGCACAUAUCCAGCUGUGUCGGUUGCUGUGUAGGUUGUAUAGAGUUAUGUUAGCACAUAUCCAGCUGUGUCGGUUGCUGUGUAGGUUGUAUAGAUGUGUGUUAGCACAUAUCCAGCUGUGUCGGUUGCUCUGUAGGUUGUAUAGAGGUGUGUUAGCACAUAUCCAGCUGUGUCGGUUGCUGUGUAGGUUGUAUAGAUGUUUGUUAGCACAUAUCCAGCUGUGUCCGUUGCUGUGUAGGUUGUACAGAGGUGUGUUAGCACAUAUCCAGCUGUGUCGAUGCUGUGUAGGUUGUAUAGAGGUGUGUUAGCACAUAUCCAGCUGUGUCGGUUGCUGUGUAGGUUGUAUAGAGGUGUGUUAGCACAUAUCCAGCUGUGUCGGUUGCUGUGUAGGUUGUAUAGAGGUGUGUUAGCACAUAUCCAGCUGUGUCGGUUGCUGUGUAGGUUGUAUAGAGGUGUGUUA